rnacentral:rRNA from 1 species
UACAGAGGUCUCAAGCGUUGUUCGGAUUCAUUGGGCGUAAAGGGUGCGUAGGCGGCGCGGUAAGUCGGGUGUGAAAUCUUGGAGCUUAACUCCGAAACUGCAUUCGAUACUGCCGUGCUUGAGGACUGGAGAGGAGACUGGAAUUUACGGUGUAGCGGUGAAAUGCGUAGAUAUCGUAAGGAAGACCAGUGGCGAAGGCGGGUCUCUGGACAGUUCCUGACGCUGAGGCACGAAGGUCCAGGGGAGCAAAACGGG